GGUAAAGGGAAUGCAGAGCGAGAGCUCUUACAUAGCUGUGUGUUCAGACUGCACACUCUCUCGUGGGGAAGUCUACAAUCUCUGCUGUGAUGUGGAGGGAUAUAAGAUCCAACCUAAGGUAAACUCACUCACCAUAAAAUAAUAAUGUUGUCUGAUGAUGUCACAUUAGGAUCAACACAACCUUUAUAUUAUCUGAGUUUGUUUUCUUACUAAUUUGGUUCCCUUAAAACAUUCUUAUCUUAUUAACCACUGGCCUAGACUCGUCCAAACCUGACAGAUGGUUGUAAAUGGUUCAGAUUUAGCUGCUCUCAUCUGUAUUCCAGGAUGUUGUGGUCCACUGGAACUACGGUCCAAACUACCACCCCACCUUCCAGGUGUUUCUGAGCACCGACACAAAGGAGGUGGAGCUGAGGCUUCUGGAGGGAGGGGGAGAAGGAGAGAAGGUGUGGGCAGCAUGCGUUCCACUAAGAGGUUCCUCAUCAGGCAGGCUGACUGAGCACGCUCAGAAACGCUCUGCAGAGGAUCAGCUGCGCUCUACAAGACGGGAGUUUCUGGAGCGAGUGUCCAUGCCUGUCCUGAAUGAUCUGCUGGAUGGACUUCUGCAGGAGGGAGUGAUCAACGAUGCUGAGAUGGAGGAAGUGAAGGCGGAGGCAGUGAGGAAGGACAGAGCACGGGUCACCAUCGACAUGGUCCUGAGGAAAGGAUCUCUCCCAUGUUCUGUGAUGAAAGCUUUGUUGGCUCAAGAUGACCCUGCCUUAUACAAAACUCUUGGCUUCCAAUGAAACAUGCUGAGAACAGUGUCAGACCUAGGAGGAGUGUGUCACACCAGUGUUUCACCCUAGUAGGGAAUACACUGUAUGUACAGAUAUAUUCAUUACAAUUAAAUACAGCUUAAUGAAAUAUGAAUUUGCCAUAUACUUACACAUGGUAUGUUUAUGUACAUCGGAACUAUAUUGUUGGAAUCAUUGAAAUACUCUUAUUCUUGUUUUAUAUUGUUUUACCCUGGGUACAUACAAAUACACUUUCUCAUUCAAAUCUAAAUUGAUCUGAAAUCUAUGUAUUUUUAUAAAAACCUAAAAUAAAACCUAAAAUAUGUUCUUUAUUUCUGC